GAUGAACGCUAGCUACAGGCUUAACACAUGCAAGUCGAGGGGAAACGAUAGAGAAAGCUUGCUUUUUCUAGGCGUCGACCGGCGCACGGGUGAGUAACGCGUAUCCAACCUGCCCAUCACUUGGGGAUAACCUUGCGAAAGUAAGACUAAUACCCAAUGAUAUCUCUAGAAGACACCUGAAAGGGAUUAAAGAUUUAUCGGUGAUGGAUGGGGAUGCGUCUGAUUAGCUUGUUGGCGGGGUAACGGCCCACCAAGGCGACGAUCAGUAGGGGUUCUGGGAGGAAGGUCCCCCACAUUGGAAAUGAGACACGGUCCAAACUCCUACGGGAGGCAGCAGUGAGGAAUAUUGGUCAAUGGGCGAGAGCCUGAACCAGCCAAGUAGCGUGCAGGAUGACGGCCCUAUGGGUUGUAAACUGCUUUUAUAAGGGAAUAAAGUGAGUCUCGUGAGACUUUUUGCAUGUACCUUAUGAAUAAGGACCGGCUAAUUCCGUGCCAGCCGCCGCGGUAA
rnacentral:rRNA from 1 species